rnacentral:rRNA from 1 species
GGGAAGAGCUCAAAUUUUGAAUCUGGCGGUCUUCGGCCGUCCGAGUUGUAAUCUAGAGAAGCGUUUUACGCGCCGGACCGUGUAUAAGUCUCCUGGAAGGGAGCGUCGUAGAGGGUGAGAAUCCCGUCUUUGACACGGACUACCGGUGCUAUGUGAUGCGCUCUCGACGAGUCGAGUUGUUUGGGAAUGCAGCUCAAAAUGGGUGGUAAAUUCCAUCUAAAGCUAAAUACAGGCGAGAGACCGAUAGCGAACAAGUACCGUGAGGGAAAGAUGAAAAGAACUUUGGAAAGAGAGUUAAACAGUACGUGAAAUUGCUGAAAGGGAAACGCUUGAUGUCAGUCGCGUCGGCCAGGGAUCAACCUUGCUUUUCGCUGGGUGUACUUCCCGGUCGACGGGUCAGCAUCAGUUUCGGUCGCCGUACAAGGGCGAGGGGAACGUGGCACUCUUCGGGGUGUGUUAUAGCCUUUCGUCGUAUGCGGUGGUUGGGACUGAGGAACUCAGCACGGCUUCGGUCUGUGCUUAGGAUGCUGGCAUAAUGGCCUUAAGCGACCCGUCUUGAAACACGGACCAAGGAGUCUAACAUGCCUGCGAGUGUUUGGGUGAUAAACUCGAGCGCGUAAUGAAAGUGAAAGUUGAGACCUCUGUCGUGGAGGGCAUCGACGCCCGGACCUGAGUCUUUGACGACGGAUCUGCGGUAGAGCAUGCAUGUUGGGACCCGAAAGAUGGUGAACUAUGCCUGAAUAGGGUGAAGCCAGAGGAAACUCUGGUGGAGGCUCGUAGCG